AACGAACGCUGGCGGCAGGCCUAACACAUGCAAGUCGAACGAAACCUUCGGGUUUAGUGGCGCACGGGUGCGUAACACGUGGGAAUGUGCCCCUGGGUGCGGAACAACAGUUGGAAACGACUGCUAAUACCGCAUAAUGACUCCGGUCCAAAGAUUUAUCGCCCAGGGAUCAGCCCGCGUCUGAUUAGAUAGUUGGUGAGGUAAAAGCUCACCAAGUCGACGAUCAGUAGCUGGUCUGAGAGGAUGAUCAGCCACACUGGAACUGAGACACGGUCCAGACUCCUACGGGAGGCAGCAGUGAGGAAUAUUGCGCAAUGGGGGCAACCCUGACGCAGCCAUGCCGCGUGAGUGAAGAAGGCCUUAGGGUUGUAAAGCUCUUUCAAUAGUGAAGAUAAUGACGGUAACUAUAGAAGAAGCCCCGGCUAAAUUCG
rnacentral:rRNA from 1 species